rnacentral:misc_RNA from 1 species
AAAAUGCGAUAAGUAAUGUGAAUUGCAGAAUUCAGUGAAUCAUCGAAUCUUUGAACGCACAUUGCGCCCUUUGGUAUUCCAAAGGGCAUGCCUGUUCGAGCGUCAUUUGUACCCUCAAGCUUUGCUUGGUGUUGGGCGUCUUUUUGUCUCUCCCCUUGUUGGGGGAGACUCGCCUUAAAACGAUUGGCAGCCGACCUACUGGUUUUCGGAGCGCAGCACAAAUUUGCGCCUUCCAAUCCACGGGGCGGCAUCCAGCAAGCCUUUGUUUUCUAUAACAAAUCCACAUUUUGACCUCGGAUCAGGUAGGGAUACCCGCUGAACUUAAGC